CAUAGAGGAACACGUGUUUCAUUUCCAGCUAUAUGUAUGCUUGUUUCAACGUUUCACCGGAUUGCUCGUUAAAACGAAAUUAUCACCACGCAAAUGCGUCUAAACAAUCUUGUUCUUGACAAGCUAUUCAGUUCAUAUGCAUUUCCAUCGCGAUGAUUGCGUGUCUCUUCAAUCGAAAUGGAAUAUAGUGGUCGCUCGUAAAAUCCGAUACAUUGUGCGGCCAGCCGUGGCGUAUUCGUCAUGUCGAGACACACCGAAGACACGCAAUCGACGAAACGAAAGGAUUGACCCCGCGCUACGUCCACGACCUCCACUUCCUUCGUCCUGAACCACCCCAGCCCCCUGGUGUUCCACGAAGCAUCGAUUC